UGGGGAAUAUUGCGCAAUGGGCGAAAGCCUGACGCAGCGACGCCGCGUGAGGGAUCAAGGUUUUCGGAUCGUAAACCUCUGUCAGAAGGGAAGAAACCGCACUGUGCUAAUCAGCAGUGCCUUGACGGUACCUUCAAAGGAAGCACCGGCUAACUCCGUGCCAGCAGCCGCGGUAAUACGGAGGGUGCAAGCGUUAAUCGGAAUUACUGGGCGUAAAGCGCACGUAGGCUGCUUUGUAAGUCAGGGGUGAAAUCCCACGGCUCAACCGUGGAACUGCCUUUGAUACUGCUUAGCUUGAAUCCGGGAGAGGGUGGCGGAAUUCCAGGUGUAGGAGUGAAAUCCGUAGAUAUCUGGAGGAACAUCAGUGGCGAAGGCGGCCACCUGGACCGGUAUUGACGCUGAGGUGCGAAAGCGUGGGGAGCAAACAGG
rnacentral:rRNA from 1 species